GACGAACCGUGCGAACGUUGUUCGGAUUCACUGGGCUUAAAGGGCGCGUAGGCGGGCCGUCAAGUCGGGGGUGAAAUCUUUCAGCUCAACUGGAAAAGAGCCUUCGAUACUGACGGCCUCGAGGGAGGUAGGGGCGUGCGGAACUUCCGGUGGAGCGGUGAAAUGCGUAGAGAUCGGAAGGAACGCCGGUGGCGAAAGCGGCGCGCUGGACCUCUUCUGACGCUGAGGCGCGAAAGCCAGGGGAGCAAACGGG
rnacentral:rRNA from 1 species